rnacentral:lncRNA from 1 species
UUCAACUUAUUGUCACAAAAAACUUAAUAAAAAAAUACAUACAUUGUUUAAAGAACAUUAAAAAUCACGUUAAAACUUUUAACAUUUUAAGAAAAAUUAUGAAUCAAUAAUAUUAAUUUUAUCCGAAAAAUUCAGCACUAAAUGCAUAAACAAAAAAAAAACAAACCUUAAACCUUAUAAUCCUAAGCAUUAUUCUAAACCAAACCUUAAACCCAACCUAAACCAAACGCUAAAAUUUUUCUACUACCUAAACCCUAAAUCCUACCUAACCCUAAACCCUACCUAAACCUAGACCUUAACCCUAUCUAGCCCUAAACCCUACAUAAACCUAACCCUAAUCCCUAAACCCUUCAUACUACUUAAACCCUAAACCUAUCUAACUGUAAACCUACCUAACCCUAAAUGUAAACCUACCUAACCGUAAACCCUAUUUAACCCUAAACCUUACCUAACCCUAAACCCUUCCUAACCCUAAAACCCUACCUAAAACCUAACCCUAAACCCUACUAACCCUAAACCCUACCUAACCCUAACCCUACAUAACCCUAAACCCUACCUAACCUAAACCCUUUCUAACCCUAAACCCUUUCUACCCCUAAACCCUACCUAACCCUAAACCCUACUAACCUUAAACCCUACUAACCCUAAACCCUUUCUAACCCUAGACCCUACCUAACCCUAAACCCUACCUACCCUAAACCCUUUCUAGCUCUAAACCCUACCUAACCCUAAACCCCAUCUAACCCUAAACCCUACCUAACCCUAAACCUGACCUAACCCUAAACCCUGCCUAACCCUAAACCCUACCUAACCCUUUCUAGCCCUAAAUCCUACGAACCCUAAACCCUUUCUAACCCUAAACCCUACCUAAUUCUAAACCCUACCUAACCCUAAAUCCUACUAACCCUAAACCCUACCUAACCAAAACCCUACCUAACCCUAAAACCUUUCUAACCCUAAACCCUUUCUAGCCCUAAACCCUACCUAACCCUAAACCCUACUAACCCUAAACCCUACUAACCCUAAACCCUACCUAAUUCUAAACCCUACCUAACCCUAAACCCUACGUAACCCUAAACCCUACCUAACCCUCAACCCUACCUACCCUAAACCCUUUUUAACCCUAAACCUUACCUGACCUAAAACCUAACCCUAAACCCUACCUAACCCUAACCCUAAAACCUACCUAAUCCUAACCCUACAUAACCCUAAACCCUACUAACCCUACCUAACCUAAACCAUUUCUAACCUUAAACCCUUUAUAGCCCUAAACCCUACUUAACCCUAAACCCUACUAACCCUAAACCCUACUAACCUUAAACCCUAUUAUUCCUAAAUCCUUUCUAACCCUAAACCCUACCUAACCCUAAACCCUACCUAACCCGUGCUUGGGAGUCCCUGAUGAUUAAAUAAACCAAGGAUUUUAUACCCUACCUAACCCUAAACCCUACCUACCCUAAACCCUUUCUAACCCUAAACCCUACCUAA